AUUGAACGCUGGCGGCAGGCCUAACACAUGCAAGUCGAACGAGUGGCGGACGGGUGAGUAAUGUCUGGGACACUGCCUGAUGGAGGGGGAUAACUCCUGGAAACGGUAGCAAAUACCGCAUACCAUCAGAUCUGCCCAGAUGGGAUUCGCUAGUUGGUGGGGUAACGGCUCACCAAGGACACGAUCACUAGCUGGUCUGAGAGGAUGACCAGCCACACUGGAACUGAGACACUGUCCAUAAUCCUACGGGAGGCAGCAUUGGGGAAUAUUGCAAAAUGGGCGAAAUCCUGAUGCAGCCAUGCGGCGGGUAGGAAGAAGGCCUUCGGGUUGUAAAGUACUUUCAGCGAGGAGGCGUUACCCGCAGAAGAAGCACCGGCUAACUCCGUGCCAGCAGCCGCGGUAAUAC
rnacentral:rRNA from 1 species